CAGAAAAAUAUUCACUUAAAAUUCUAUCUGUAUUAGUUAGGGUAUGAACCAAUCUUUUGUAACAAAAGAUCCCUAAAUACAGUAGCUCAAAUAAGAUAUCUGCUCAGAGUACUGCCCUCAUCUGCAUGGUUGAAGCUGGCUCACUGCCACAAUGGUCAAGGUCCAGCCCAAGGAUAAUGGAACGAAAUAGAGGGAUCUGCACACCCAAUUUGUUUAAAGCUGGCACGAAUGCUAAUCUCCAUGACUUAUCUGAUGAUGGUGUAAUUCAGAUCCUCAUCCCAAGGCCCUGGAGCAACCACCCAAGCUAUUCAUCCCUGCCCCUGAAUCCAUGUAUAUUCUAACGUUGGGCUAUUUCUCCUGCUGCACAAAGUGGAGGACCAGGUGCACCUCCCAAGGCUCUGCCCAUUGGAAGGAUAUUCUCUGAUCACUUCUCUUUCAAGGCCACCCAAGUGGGGGAAGGGUUCAACCACAAUACCAAACUGACUCAUCAUGAACCAAAUGUGGGCUUUUUUUCCUUUGCUAGCUGAUCAUAAGAGAUCAACCACGGUAGUACGAGCUGAAGAAGAGGCACCUGGACAGUAGUAGUGAAUGACAUGGAGUCCAGGGUACCUACUCACGCAGCUUGUUUGUACCCUCUGUUCCUGCUUGUGUUCAGUCCUGAAUGCACCACUUGCACAUUAUGAUGGAUUGUUGCUAAACUUGUCCAACCUUAUAACAUGGUUGAUCCGACGGAAACCAGUCCACAAAAGACAGUUGUGGCUACAGUACCACUUGGUACCUCAGUGCUUGGUUCUUCAUCUCUCUCAGGGAUCUGCAGCAUGCCAGGAGCUGUUUUUCAAAAGGUGUAUCACUUUCUGCUGCAUAUUCUGCCAUGCUCCAGAACUCCACAAGUCUGCAUUGUGAGUCUUUCAUCGGAACUUGCCAUAAACUCCACAUAUCCUUAUAGUCCAUAUCAUGUCUUUUCCCACCACUGAUAUCUCUAAUACUCAAAUGUAUGGCAUUAUAUGCUAUGUACAGUAAAGUCAACUACAAUUUUUCCGAGUUUUAGCUGGUAUCAUAUCUUAAACACAAAUAUAUCAUUUUUCUUUUUCUUGACUCUAAACUUUUUUAUUCAAUCUCUUUGUUCAAAUUUUUCCAUAAUUAAUCUAAUUUAUGGGCUAGUGGAGGAGGUUAAAAAGAGGAUAGAAUCAUUAAAGAAAAAGGGCUCCAGAAGAUUAGAAGAGGGAGAAUUUACUUUCCUU
ensembl:lncRNA